UUUGUAAUUCGAACGAGGGAUGAAAGACAUGAGGGUUGGAGAGAACAUGUCCCUUCUGACAGGAUGAAGAAUUUCAUAGCUGACACAAUACCUGAGAUGAUUCAGGUUGAGGGUCAGACUCGGGACUAUCAUAGCCCAGAUUGCUGCCGAUGGGGAAGUGAGCCCAGAAGGUACGAGCCAGGUCCUCCAUCCCUUCAUGAGCUGCCUGAGCUCGAAGCUCCUCCAACCACCCAAAAAAGUCUGACGACCACAGGCCCCAGUAGGGGAGGCUUCGUUUCUCCCUCUCCUCCCUCCUGCCGGCUGCAUCACUUUCCUCUGCUCCUGUCAAAGAAGACAAGAUACAGAAAGAAGUGUGAACAUUAUUUCACACCUUGUCCGUCAUGUCAGCAUUACUGUAUAUUGCAGUGUGGAAUGGCGUAUAUGAGCUCCUGACAUACCUGUAGGAGGCAGGGAGCCGAGCAGAAGGGCACAGAGCAGCACAGACACAUACAGAGCAUGUAUGCUUUCCAUAACUGAAAGACAGACCACAAAAGGCUUGAUCUGAAAAAUAAUAACCCUGUUCAUCAGUUUCUGCAAGAGAAAUGUGUGUGUGAAUUCAUGAGCAUAGAGAGCAUCUUAUCAACACCAGAAUGUAAAGAACAGGGUGUAGUGGUGAAAUGGAAAACUGCUUGUUCUUUAAAAACCAUGCAGGCUACAACAUAAAGAAGAAGAAAAUCUCCCAAGACCAUCUUUGCUUCAUCAAAUAUCAUCUUCAGUCUUGUCUUACCUGAUCAACAGGAGAUUAUGCUCGUGGUCUAGUCCCUUGCCCUUCUUUCUCAGACUGAUCUCAGGAUGACGGCUGCGUCUCUAUUUGAGCAUGAUGACAUGUUUGUUUUUCACAUUUUGAAAAUUUUUUCCACCUGCCUGUCUCCAAAAACGACGUCAGAGAUCCUCUUUCACACCUCUCUGUAGAGAAACAUAACCUCACAUUGUCUAGUGUAAUAAUGUCCUGUGUUGAUAAAAUGUUUUUAGGUAAGGUCAAAUUAAAUGAGAGGUCAUAUCUGGAUCCCGCCGCUGGCCCUCCUCUCAUA